AGUGAACGCUGGCGGUAGGCCUAACACAUGCAAGUCGAACGGCAGCACAGUAAGAGCUUGCUCUUACGGGUGGCGAGUGGCGGACGGGUGAGGAAUACAUCGGAAUCUACUUUUUCGUGGGGGAUAACGUAGGGAAACUUACGCUAAUACCGCAUACGACCUACGGGUGAAAGCAGGGGAUCUUCGGACCUUGCGCGAUUGAAUGAGCCGAUGUCGGAUUAGCUAGUUGGCGGGGUAAAGGCCCACCAAGGCGACGAUCCGUAGCUGGUCUGAGAGGAUGAUCAGCCACACUGGAACUGAGACACGGUCCAGACUCCAACGGGAGGCAGCAGUGGGGAAUAUUAGACAAUGGGCGCAAGCCUGAUCCAGCCAUACCGCGUGGGUGAAGAAGGCCUUCGGGUUUUAAAGCCCUUUUGUUGGGAAAGAAAAGCAGCAGGUUAAUACCCCGCUGUUCUGACGGUACCCAAAGAAUAAGCACCGGCUAACUUCGUG
rnacentral:rRNA from 1 species